UGGGGGAAGUAUUGCACAAUGGGGGAAACCCGUGAUGCAGCGACGCCGCGUGAAGGAAGAAGUAUCUCGGUAUGUAAACUUCUAUCAGCAGGGAAGAUAGUGACGGUACCUGACUAAGAAGCCCCGGCUAACUACGUGCC
rnacentral:rRNA from 1 species